AGUCCCUAAAGCAAAAGGCUGUUUAUUCUUGUUCUGUUCCAGGAUCAAUUCCAGCGCAUAAGAUUGUCCUUGUUGCACAAAAAUGACUGCAAUUUCACUCUAACACAGGCAAGAAGCAUUACACUACAACCAAGAAAAGUAAGAAAUGACCAGUUUUAACUGCCCAAAUGACACCAGAUAAUUGAACUCAUAUUGGAGCCUAUUCAGUCUUCAGGGCCUGCCUGAUGCUCUACUGCAGCCACCACCACCUCCCGGAAA
rnacentral:lncRNA from 1 species